AGCUCCAAUAGCGUAUAUUAAAGUUGUUGCAGUUAAAAAGCUCGUAGUUGGAUUUCUGGGGGGCGCAGAUUGUCCGCAGACGCGUGUGCAGAUGCGCCCUUUCAUCCUUCUGUUAACGUCUCUUGACAUUCAUUUGUUGGUGGCGGGCUCAGAUAUUUUACCUUGAGAAAAUUAGAGUGUUUCAGGCAGGCUCGCGUCGGAAUACAUUAGCAUGGAAUAAUAGAAUAGGACUCAGUCCUCCUUUGUUGGUUUGAGGGGUCAGAGUAAUGGUUAAUAGGGAUAGUUGGGGGCAUUAGUAUUUGACUGUCAGAGGUGAAAUUCUCGGAUUUGUUAAAGACUAACUUAUGCGAAAGCAUUUGCCAAGGAUGUUUUCAUUA
rnacentral:rRNA from 2 species